GCAAAACUGUGAAGUCUACAGGACUAGACUCCAUGCCACAAGAAUUCAUUUUCCCACUUACAAACUACUGUCUAAUCUGUAUUACAGAUAAGAAGCUGGAAUUCAGCUGAAGGUCAAUAAGUGCAUGGCAGCAAGAAAAGGGGAAUUUGGGGGAAGGAUUUCAAAAAAUGAGAAGGAGGCAGAGCAAUAUGUUUCAGAGAAGAAACCAUCUCAGUGGCUAACAGAAGUGUCUGAAAACUGAAGCCCAGGUUCACUGAGCAUCUGAUUCAAGAUCGUGCAUCUAAUUGCUGACCAAUCAUUCCAGUUUGCCUGGGACUGCAAUACAGAGGGGAAAAGGAUUGGGGGAAAGGAAGGGAGUUCCCAGUGCUAAAACUGGGGAAGUCCUAGGUAAACCUCAACAAUCAAAGUGCCAAUCAGAGUCCACAGUAGCUCCUGACUCACAAACCUAGUGUUCUUUCUUCAAGGUCACGUUCCCUCACAGAGAAAGCUCUCCACUUUGAAGGGCCUUCUGAGCCUACUUUCCGAAGACUGCCCUCUGGAUGAGAAUUUUUCACAAUCCAAAUUAGACAGUAAGUUAAUUUUAUAACAUGAAUAAAUACUUAUAUUUCAAGACCUAGUAUUUUUUG
rnacentral:lncRNA from 1 species